GCCUACGGGACGCAGCAAGCGGGAAUAUUGCACAACGGGCGAAAGCCAGGUGCAGCAAUGCCGCGUGAGGGAUGACGGCCUUCGGGUUGUAAACCUCUGUCAGCAGGGACGAUAAUGACGGUACCUGUUGAGGAAGCUCCGGCUAACUCCGUGCCAGCAGCCGCGGUAAGACGGAGGGAGCAAGCGUUGUCCGGAUUUACUGGGCGUAAAGCGCGCGUAGGCGGCCUGUUAAGUCGAUUGUGAAAUUGCGGGGCUCAACCCCGCACCUGCAGUCGAUACUGGCAGGCUCGAGUUCGGGAGAGGGAAGUGGAAUUCCUGGUGUAGCGGUGGAAUGCGUAGAUAUCAGGAAGAACACCGGUGGCGAAGGCGGCUUCCUGGACCGAUACUGACGCUGAGGCGCGAAAGCUAGGGGAGCGAACGGGAUUAGAUACCCUGGU
rnacentral:rRNA from 1 species